ensembl:misc_RNA Telomerase-vert Vertebrate telomerase RNA
AACCCAAAGCUUUGUGAGGCGUAGGUGCCGUCUUUUGUUCCACCACGUGUUGUUUUUCUCGCUGACUAUCAGCGCGCAGAAAAGCCAUGCCCUGCUGCCACUUGUCAUGGAUGUCCGUUUACAAAAAAAAAAAAAAACCAA